AUAAGAGCCUUAAUGAUCACUACCCUACAUUGGGAAGAUUUUCAAAAGGGAAUGGAUUUUCAAUGGCCAUUUCGUUACUUUGGUUGUCAUGAGGUGUAAGAAUGAUACUUUGGCCGUCAUUUCUACAACCUAAACACUGAUCAUCCAUUGCAUCCUCAUUUGAGCUAAAAAUUGGUGGUUCUUUUCGAGUGCACAUAUGAUCGCACCCCACAUUGGGGAAGGAGAUUGGGGAAUUUUGAAAAAGGAAAAAAAGGGAAAGAGAACCGCAAGUUGGGAAAAUUUGAUUCCACUUGGGUUCCAAUUUUGAAAAAAAAAAAAGAAAAAGAAAAAGAAGAGAUUUGUCCGCACGGACCGCCUAUGUUUCACAAAUAUGGAUAAACAAGGGUCUUCCUCAGUCAGUAAUUCAGAUACAUGCAAAAAAAUUUCGCAUUAACGAAAGUUUCCUUUCAGAAUUAUUGUAAGGGACGGAACAAAGGUCAGGCCCUCUUCUUUUCCAAUCAAACAUUCUAUCCCUACUUAUCCCUUUUGAGCCAUCAGAAUAAAUUAUUUCGUUUGGUAACCCCUGAGAAUCGCAAACCCCACACUGGGGGCAAGUUUGAAUUGAAAAGAAAAAAGUUUCAAGAAGUGAAAAGUGACAAUGCAACAAAAUCAAAAGGAAAAGAGAAAAGAGAACCUCAGUUCAAAAAAUAAACUGGGGCAAAUUUUGUGAAAGUUCAAAAAAUGGCAAAAGGCCGAAAAAUCAAAAGAAAAUGAAAGAGAAAAAGCCUCAAUUGAGCACAAGCUCUGGCAAAUUCUGAUUUAGCCCUAAAAUAGGAUUGGCACAACAAUGCGAUCUCAGAUUACUUAAACCAUUCUUGAAAUCUGCCUUCAAGCCUUAACUUUUCCAAACACCCCACCAGAC
rnacentral:lncRNA from 1 species